rnacentral:rRNA from 1 species
UCGAGAAUUUUUCUCAAUGGGGGAAACCCUGAAGGAGCGACGCCGCGUGGAGGAUGAAGGUCUUCGGAUUGUAAACUCCUGUCAUUUGGGAACAAAACUUCCGUUUUACUGACGGAAGCUUGAUAGUACUAGAAGAGGAAGAGACGGCUAACUCUGUGCCAGCAGCCGCGGUAAUACAGAGGUCUCAACCGUUGUUCGGAUUCAUUGGGCGUAAAGGGUGCGUAGGCGGUCGGGUAAGUCGGAUGUGAAAUCCCAGGGCUCAACCCUGGAACUGCAUUCGAUACUGCCUGGCUAGGGUACUGGAGAGGAGACUGGAAUUUACGGUGUAGCAGUGAAAUGCGUAGAUAUCGUAAGGAAGACCAGUGGCGAAGGCGAGUCUCUGGACAGUUACCGACGCUGAGGCACGAAGGUCAGGGGAGCAAACGGGAUUAGAUACCCCCGUAGUCC